GCAAAUAUUCAAUAUUUUCAAUCAAACGAAAUAGAGCAGGUGGCCAAUACGCUUGCUGACCCACGGGAGUGAAAGUUUCACUAUAUGCUCGUUUUUAACACUUUGUACCGUAGUACUUGCUAACAUAAUUCUUCGGCUCGAUCCCACGAAUUUCACAAAAUUUAAUAGCAUGUGAGCAUGGCAUAUGCAAAUUUCUCCACUUUCCACAAAAACAUUUCUUACCCUUGGCAGAAACUUUGUGAACGUUUCCACCUUUACCAUUUUUUGCAAAUAUCAAAAUUUCAAACACACCAUCAUCAAUCUGAUAGGUCAUUAUAUUUGUGCGUGAUUGAGCUCUUUUUCAAUAUUCUUGAAUCUUGUCUUCUACGCCAAGAGGAAAACGAGCUUUUUUUUUAAUAAAGCAGUAGCAAAUUUGUCCCUUUCAACAAAACGAUCAACUAAGGAAUGAAAGGUCAUGCGAACCAUUGCAGUCACUGAAAGUCCCCGAGCUUUCUUCAACAAAUAAUUGUACGACUCAGAUACAUUAGUCGUCAUGACACCCCAUCUACGACCAUCAUCCAUGUACAUUGUCCAUUUUUCAAAAGGAUGAUUACAUAACUAUCUAUACGCUCCUGGGGACACUGCUUUAAUUUGUUGCAUUCUCUGCAAGAAUUUUUUUCUUGAUGCUCCGUAGCAGCCAACCACAUCAGAUUUUUGAGUUCACUGUUUAAACUUUUUUAUUAAAAUUAGCUUUCAAAUGUCGAACACAAAAUUUGUGGUUUGUUUUGGGUGGUUGCAACCAGGCGUAAGAUUUAACACACUGUAAAAUUUCUAGAUGGCGGUCUAAAAUAAGUUCAAUAUCUUUUCUCUCAUCAACAACAUGCCUCCAUAAUAAUGUGAGAAAUCAUGACCAAGAUUCAAAACUUUCACGCGUCACUAUAGCAUAUGCGAGUGGAAAAAUAUUACCGUUCGCAUCAAUUGCGACAACAAUUAAUAAUUUAAUAUCAUACUUGCUAUAAAGAUGAGUGUCAUCUAUUGAAAUGACAGGCCUACAACUUCUAAAUCCAUCAAUGCUUGCCUUGAAACUCUAAAAUAAAAACUUGAAUAUGUGUUCACCUUGUAUUGUUGUUGAAUCAUGCUCCCACUCAACGACAGUUCCUGGAUUGAACGAUUGCAAUGCUGUCAUACAAGCAGGUAAUGCCUUAAAAGAAUUUUCAAAAUCACCACACAUCAUCUUAAAUGCCUUUCUUCGACCUUUUUGAGCUUUUCGAUAACUAGGGGUAUUAUGGUGCAAUCCUUUGAUGUUUUCGCGAACCAUCUUGAUGCUAAUAUUUGGGUAUUUCCUAAUAUAAGGAAUCAAUGAAGUAGCAAUCAAG
rnacentral:lncRNA from 1 species